GAUGAAGAACGCAGCGAAAUGCGAUAAGUAAUGUGUAUUGCAGAAUUCAGUGAAUCAUCGAAUCUUUGAACGCACAUUGCGCCCCCUGGUAUUCCGGGGGGCAUGCCUGUCCGAGCGUCAUUACAACCCUCAAGCUCAGCUUGGUGUUGGGCCCCGCCGCCCCGGCGGGCCCUAAAGUCAGUGGCGGUGCCGUCCGGCUCCGAGCGUAGUAAUUCUUCUCGCUCUGGAGGUCCGGUCGUGUGCUCGCCAGCAACCCCCAAUUUUUUUCAGGUUGACCUCGGAUCAGGUAGGGAUACCCGCUGAACUUAAGCAUAUCAAUAAGCGGAGGA
rnacentral:misc_RNA from 1 species